rnacentral:rRNA from 1 species
GAUGAACGCUGGCGGCGUGCCUAAUACAUGCAAGUAGAACGCUGAAGGAAGGAGCUUGCUCUUUCCGGAUGAGUUGCGCACGGGUGAGUAACGCGUAGGUAACCUGCCUGGUAGCGGGGGAUAACUAUUGGAAACGAUAGCUAAUACCGCAUAACAGUAGAUGUUGCAUGAUAUCUACUUAAAAGGUGCAAUUGCACCACUACCAGAUGGACCUGCGUUGUAUUAGCUAGUUGGUGAGGUAACGGCGCACCAAGGCGACGAUACAUAGCCGACCUGAGAGGGUGAUCGGCCACACUGGGACUGAGACACGGCCCAUACUCCUACGGGAGGCAGCAGUAGGGAAUCUUCGGCAAUGGACGGAAGUCUGACCGAGCAACGCCGCGUGAGUGAAGAAGGUUUUCGGAUCGUAAAGCUCGGUUGUAAGAUAAGAACGAGUGUGAGAGUGGAAAGUUCACACUGUGACGGUAUCUGACCAGAAAGGGACGGCUAACUACGUG